rnacentral:rRNA from 1 species
UACAGAGGCCCCGAGCGUUAGGCGGAAUCACUGGGCUUAAAGCGUGUGUAGGUGGAUGCCUAAGUGUUUUGUGAAAUCCCACGGCUUAACCGUGGAAUUGCUUGACAUACUGGGUGUCUUGAGCCACUCAGGGGCUACCGGAACAAAUGGUGGAGCGGUGAAAUGCGUAGAUAUCAUUUGGAACGCCAAUGGUGAAAACAGGUAGCUGGGGGUGUGCUGACACUGAGACACGAAAGCCAGGGGAGCAAACGGG